GUUCUUAAGGUGCUUUUAAAAGACUUGAUUUCAAACUAAAAAACAAGGUUCCAAAGGUGCUUUCAAAGAUUUGUUCUCAACCCAGAAACAUGGUUCAGAAGGUGCUUUCAAAGACUUGUUCUUAGAUUAAAGGUUUUAAAAAAGGUGCUUUCAAAAGACUUGUUCUUAAACUCAAAAACAUGGUUCAGAAGGUGCUUCCAAGGUAUGAUUUCAAGACAAAAAAAAUAUUCUAUAAAGGUGCUUUUCAAAAAUCUUUAUCUCAAACCAAAAAAGGCUUGAAAGGUGCUUUAAAAAUCUUUAUCACAAACAAAUGCAAGGUCCAAAAGGUGCUUUCAAAAUCUUUAUCUCAAACCAAAAACAAGGUUCUAAUAAGGUGCUUUCAAAAUCUUGAUCUCAAACCAAAAAAGGCUUGAAAAUGUGCUUUUAAAAUCUUGAUCUCAAACCAAAAAAGGCUUGAAAGGUGCUUUCAAAAUCUUGAUCUCAAACCAAAAAAGGCUUGAAAAGGUGCUUUCAAAAUCUUGAUCUCAAACCAAAAAAGGCUUGAAAGGUGCUUUAAAAAACUUGAUCUCAAACCAAAAAAGGCUUGAAAGGUGCUUUAAAAAUCUUGAUCUCAAACAAUUGCAAGGUUCUAAUAAGGUGCUUUAAAAGAUGUGAUCUCAAACCCAGAAACAUGGUUCCAAAGGUGCUUUCAGAAUCUUGAUCUCAAACCAAAAAAGGCUUGAAAAGGUGCUUUCAAAAUCUUGAUCUCAAACCAAAAAAGGCUUGAAAGGUGCUUUCAAAAUCUUGAUCUCAAACAAAUGCAAGGUCCAAAAGGUGCUUUCAAAAUCUUUAUCUCAAACCAAAUGCAAGGUCCAAAAGGUGCUUUAAAAAACUUGAUCUCAAACCAAAAACAACAUUCUAAUAAGGUGCUUUAAAAGACUUGUUCUCAAACAAAAAAGGUUCAAAAGGUGCUUUCAAAGACUUGUUCUCAAACAAAAAAGGUUCAAAAGGUGCUUUCAAAGACUUGUUCUCAAACAAAAGGGUUUAAAAGGUGCUUUCAAAGACUUGUUCCUCAAACCCAAAAACAUGGUUCAGAAGGUGCUUUUCAAGGUAUGAUUUCAAAACAAAAAAAGGUUCUUAAAAAAGGUG